GUGGGGAAUAUUGGACAAUGGGCGAAAGCCUGAUCCAGCCAUGCCGCGUGUGUGAAGAAGGUCUUCGGAUUGUAAAGCACUUUAAGUUGGGAGGAAGGGCAGUAAGUUAAUACCUUGCUGUUUUGACGUUACCGACAGAAUAAGCACCGGCUAACUUCGUGCCAGCAGCCGCGGUAAUACGAAGGGUGCAAGCGUUAAUCGGAAUUACUGGGCGUAAAGCGCGCGUAGGUGGUUUUGUAAGUUGGAGGUGAAAUCCCCGGGCUCAACCUGGGGACUGCCUCCAAAACUGCAUGACUAGAGUACGGUAGAGGGUAGUGGAAUUUCCUGUGUAGCGGUGAAAUGCGUAGAUAUAGGAAGGAACACCAGUGGCGAAGGCGACUACCUGGACUGAUACUGACACUGAGGUGCGAAAGCGUGGGGAGCAAACAGGAUUAGAAACCCCGGUAGUCC
rnacentral:rRNA from 1 species